GUUGUUGCAGUUAAAAAGCUCGUAGUUGAACUUCGGGGUCUACCCAUUGGUCAGGCUUAAUUGUCUGCACUGGUGAGAUGGAUCUCUACCUUCUGAGGAACUUUCAUGCCAUUUAUUUGGUGUGAUUGGAAAUCAGGACUGUUACUUUGAAAAAAUUAGAGUGUUUAAAGCAGACUAUCGUCUGAAUACAUUAGCAUGGAAUAAUGAAAUAGGACGGACUGAUCCUAUUUCGUUGGUUUCUAGGAUCACCGUAAUGAUUAAUAGGGAUAGUUGGGGGCAUUAGUAUUCAAUUGUCAGAGGUGAAAUUCUUGGAUUUAUUGAAGACUAACUACUGCGAAAGCAUUUGCCAAGGAUGUUUUCAUUAAUCAAGAACGAAAGUUAGGGGAUCGAAGACGAUCAGAUACCGUCGUAGUCUUAACCAUAAACUAUGCCGACUAGGGAUCGGACGAAGUUAAUUUUAUAAUGACGCGUUCGGCGCCUUACGGGAAAC
rnacentral:rRNA from 1 species